rnacentral:rRNA from 1 species
UACGAAAUGGGCUAGCUUUGUUUGGAAUUACUGGGCGUAAAGCGAACGUAGGCGGCUUGGUAAGUUGGUGGCGAAAUCCCAGGGCUCAGCCCUGGAACUGCCUCCAAAACUGCUAGGCUAGAGGAUGCGAGAGGUUGGCGGAAGUCCGAGUGUAGAGGUGAAAUUCGUAGAUAUUCGGAAGAACGCAAGUGGCGUAGGCGGCCAACUGGCGCAUUUCUGACGCUGAGGUGCGAAAGCGUGGGGAGCAAACAGG